UUGAUUAAGUCUUCGAUCGAUUAGUAUUCGUCAGCUCCACAUGUCACCAUGCUUCCACCUCGAACCUAUUAACCUCAUCAUCUUUGAGGGAUCUUAUAACCGAAGUUGGGAAAUCUCAUCUUGAGGGGGGCUUCAUGCUUAGAUGCUUUCAGCACUUAUCCCGUCCACACAUAGCUACCCAGCUAUGCCGUUGGCACGACAACUGGUACACCAGAGGUAUGUCCAUCCCGGUCCUCUCGUACUAAGGACAGCUCCUCUCAAAUUUCCUACGCCCACGACGGAUAGGGACCGAACUGUCUCACGACGUUCUGAACCCAGCUCGCGUACCGCUUUAAUGGGCGAACAGCCCAACCCUUGGGACCGACUACAGCCCCAGGAUGCGAUGAGCCGACAUCGAGGUGCCAAACCUCCCCGUCGAUGUGAACUCUUGGGGGAGAUAAGCCUGUUAUCCCCGGGGUAGCUUUUAUCCGUUGAGCGAUGGCCCUUCCAUGCGGAACCACCGGAUCACUAAGUCCGUCUUUCGACCCUGCUCGACUUGUAGGUCUCGCAGUCAAGCUCCCUUAUGCCUUUACACUCUAUGAAUGAUUUCCAACCAUUCUGAGGGAACCUUUGAGCGCCUCCGUUACCUUUUAGGAGGCGACCGCCCCAGUCAAACUGCCCGCCUGACACUGUCUCCCACCACGAUAAGUGGUGCGGGUUAGAAAGCCAACACAGCUAGGGUAGUAUCCCACCAGCGCCUCCACGUAAGCUAGCGCUCACGUUUCAAAGGCUCCUACCUAUCCUGUACAAGCUGUGCCGAAUUUCAAUAUCAGGCUACAGUAAAGCUCCACGGGGUCUUUCCGUCCUGUCGCGGGUAACCUGCAUCUUCACAGGUACUAUGAUUUCACCGAGUCUCUCGUUGAGACAGUGCCCAAAUCGUUACGCCUUUCGUGCGGGUCGGAACUUACCCGACAAGGAAUUUCGCUACCUUAGGACCGUUAUAGUUACGGCCGCCGUUUACUGGGGCUUCGAUUCGUAGCUUCGCAGAAGCUAACCACUCCUCUUAACCUUCCAGCACCGGGCAGGCGUCAGCCCCUAUACAUCACCUUACGGUUUAGCAGAGACCUGUGUUUUUGAUAAACAGUCGCUUGGGCCUAUUCACUGCGGCUCUUCUGGGCGUUAACCCUAAAGAGCACCCCUUCUCCCGAAGUUACGGGGUCAUUUUGCCGAGUUCCUUAACGAGAGUUCGCUCGCUCACCUUAGAAUUCUCAUCUUGACUACCUGUGUCGGUUUGCGGUACGGGCACCUAUUUUCUAUCUAGAGGCUUUUCUCGGCAGUGUGAAAUCAACGACUCGAAGACACAAUGUCUUCUCCCCAUCACAGCUCAGCCUUAACGAGUACCGGAUUUGCCUAAUACUCAGCCUUACUGCUUAGACGUGCAAUCCAAUCGCACGCUUCGCCUAUCCUACUGCGUCCCCCCAUCGAUUAAAACGAUUAUAGGUGGUACAGGAAUAUCAACCUGUUAUCCAUCGCCUACGCCUGUCGGCCUCAGCUUAGGACCCGACUAACCCAGAGCGGACGAGCCUUCCUCUGGAAACCUUAGUCAAUCGGUGGACGGGAUUCUCACCCGUCUUUCGCUACUCACACCGGCAUUCUCACUUCUAAGCGCUCCACAUGUCCUUACGAUCAUGCUUCAACGCCCUUAGAACGCUCUCCUACCAUUGUCCAAAGGACAAUCCACAGCUUCGGUAAUAUGUUUAGCCCCGGUACAUUUUCGGCGCAGUGUCACUCGACUAGUGAGCUAUUACGCACUCUUUAAAUGAUGGCUGCUUCUAAGCCAACAUCCUAGUUGUCUGGGCAACGCCACAUCCUUUUCCACUUAACAUAUAUUUUGGGACCUUAGCUGGUGGUCUGGGCUGUUUCCCUUUCGAACACGGACCUUAUCACCCAUGUUCUGACUCCCAAGUUAAAUUAAUUGGCAUUCGGAGUUUGUCUGAAUUCGGUAACCCGAGAGGGGCCCCUCGUCCAAACAGUGCUCUACCUCCAAUAAUCAUCACUUGAGGCUAGCCCUAAAGCUAUUUCGGAGAGAACCAGCUAUCUCCAGGUUCGAUUGGAAUUUCUCCGCUACCCUCAGUUCAUCCGCUCACUUUUCAACGUAAGUCGGUUCGGUCCUCCAUUCAGUGUUACCUGAACUUCAACCUGACCAAGGGUAGAUCACCUGGUUUCGGGUCUACGACCAAAUACUAAACGCCCUAUUCAGACUCGCUUUCGCUACGGCUCCACAUUUACUGCUUAACCUUGCAUCAAAUCGUAACUCGCCGGUUCAUUCUACAAAAGGCACGCCAUCACCCAUUAACGGGCUCUGACUACUUGUAAGCACACGGUUUCAGGUUCUAUUUCACUCCCCUUCCGGGGUGCUUUUCACCUUUCCCUCACGGUACUGGUUCACUAUCGGUCACUAGAGAGUAUUUAGCCUUAGGAGAUGGUCCUCCCAGAUUCCGACGGAAUUUCACGUGCUCCGUCGUACUCAGGAUCCACUCAAGAGAGACAACAUUUUCGACUACAGGAUUAUUACCUUCUUUGAUUCAUCUUUCCAGAUGAUUCGUCUAAUGUCGUCCUUUGUAACUCCGUAUAGAGUGUCCUACAACCCCAACAAGCAAGCUUGUUGGUUUGGGCUCUUCCCGUUUCGCUCGCCGCUACUAAGGGAAUCGAAUUUUCUUUCUCUUCCUCCGGGUACUAAGAUGUUUCAGUUCUCCGGGUGUGCCUUCUGAUAUGCUAUGUAUUCACAUAUCGAUAACAUGACAUAACUCAUGCUGGGUUUCCCCAUUCGGAAAUCUCUGGAUCAAAGCUUACUUACAGCUCCCCAAAGCAUAUCGUCGUUAGUAACGUCCUUCAUCGGCUUCUAGUGCCAAGGCAUCCACCGUGCGCCCUUAAUAACUUAA
rnacentral:rRNA from 1 species